rnacentral:rRNA from 1 species
GACGAACGCUGGCGGCGUGCCUAACACAUGCAAGUCGAACGGAGAUUUCAGCAAUGGAAUCUUAGUGGCGAACGGGUGAGUAACGCGUAGACAACCUACCUUCUAGAUGGGGACAACACUGCGAAAGUGGUGCUAAUACCGAAUGUUGUAUUUUGGGUGCAUGCCUAAAAUACUAAAGGUGGCCUCUAUUCAUAAGCUACCACUAGAAGAUGGGUCUGCGUCUGAUUAGCUAGUUGGUGAGGUAACGGCUCACCAAGGCGACGAUCAGUAGCCGGUCUGAGAGGAUGAACGGCCACACUGGGACUGAGACACGGCCCAGACUCCUACGGGAGGCAGCAGUGGGGAAUCUUCCGCAAUGGACGAAAGUCUGACGGAGCAACGCCGCGUGAGUGAAGAAGGUUUUCGGAUCGUAAAACUCUGUUUUCAGGGACGAAUGUGCGAUAUGUGAAUAAUGUGUUGUAAUGACGGUA